GCAGUCAGGAGAACGGAUCCUUCGGGAUACUAUUAAACUGGCGAACGGGUGAGUAACGCGUAGGCAACCUGCCUUGGAGAUUGGGAUAACCCCGGGAAACCGGAGCUAAUACCAAAUAAUGCAGCGGAUCCUUUCGGGAUAUGUUGUUAAAGUGGGCUUCGGCUCACACUUCAAGAUGGGCCUGCGUCCGAUUAGCUUGUUGGUGAGGUAAUGGCUCACCAAGGCGAUGAUCGGUAGCUGGUCUGAGAGGAUGAUCAGCCACACUGGGAUUGAGAUACGGCCCAGACUCCUACGGGAGGCAGCAGUGGGGAAUUUUGCGCAAUGGACGAAAGUCUGACGCAGCAACGCCGCGUGAUCGAUGAAGCUUCUAGGAGUGUAAAGAUCUGUCGUGAGGGAAGAAAAAUCUGGAUGUAAAUAAUGUUCAGACGUGACGGUACCUCACAAGAAAGCACCGGCUAACUUCGUGCCAGCAGCCGCGGUAAUACGAGGGGUGCUAGCGUUGUCCGGAAUUACUGGGCGUAAAGGGUUCGUAGGCGUCUUGCCAAGUUGAUCGUUAAAGCCACCGGCUUAACCGGUGAUCUGCGAUCAAAACUGGCGAGAUAGAAUAUGUGAGGGGAAUGUGGAAUUCCUGGUGUAGCGGUGACAUGCGUAGAUAUCAGGAGGAACACCAAUGGCGAAGGCAGCAUUCUGGCACAAUAUUGACGCUGAGGAACGAAAGCGUGGGGAGCAAACAGGAUUAGAUACCCUGGUAGUCCACGCCGUAAACGAUGAGUACUUGGUGGUGGGGGAUUCGACCCCUUCACUAUCGGAGCUAACGCNU
rnacentral:rRNA from 1 species